GAAAUGCGAUAAGUGAUGUGAAUUGCAGAAUUCAGUGAAUCAUCGAAUCUUUGAACGCACAUUGCGCCCGCCAGUAUUCUGGCGGGCAUGCCUGUCCGAGCGUCAUUUCAACCAUCAAGCCCCCGGGCUUGUGUUGGGGACCUGCGGCUGCCCGCAGGCCCUGAAAACCAGUGGCGGGCUCGCUGUCACACCGAGCGUAGUAGCAAUCACCUCGCUCAGGGCGUGCUGCGGGUUCCGGCCGUUAAACAGCCUUACAAAACCCAAGGUUGACCUCGGAUCAGGUAGGAAGACCCGCUGAACUUAAGC
rnacentral:misc_RNA from 1 species